rnacentral:rRNA from 1 species
GAUGAACGCUGGCGGCGUGCUUAACACAUGCAAGUCGAACGGGAAACCUUUUAAUUUAGCUUCGGCAGUUUUAGCUGGUUUCUAGUGGCGGUCGGGCGAGUAACACGUGGGUAAUCUUCCUUAUACAGGGCGAUAACAGUCAGAAAUGACGGCUAAUACCGCAUAAGCGCACAGGACCGCAUGGUCCGGUGUGAAAUACUCCGGUGGUAUAAGAUGGACCCGCGUUGGUUUAGCUUGGUGGUGGGGUAACGGCUCACCAAGGCGGCGAUCCAUAGCAGGCCUGAGAGGAGGAACGGCCACAAUGGGAAUGAGACACGGCCCAGACUACUACGGGAGGCAGCGGUGGAGAAUAUUGCAGCAUGGGGGAAAGCCUGAUGCAGCGACGCCGCGUGAAGGAAGAAGUCUCUAGGUAUGUAAACUUCUAUCAGCAGGGAAGAUAGUGACGGUACCUGAAUAAGAAGCCCCGGCUAACUACGUG